rnacentral:rRNA from 1 species
AUUGAACGCUGGCGGCGUGCCUAAUACAUGCAAGUCGAACGCAGUGGGGACGGGUGAGUAACACGUGGGUAACCUCCCAUCAGAGGGGAUAACACUUGGAAACAGGUGCUAAACCGAUACUGAUGGAUGGACACGCGGGGCAUUUGCUAGUUGGUGAGGUAACGGCUCACCAAGGCCACGAUGCAUAGCCGACCCUGGAGUGUGAUCGUCCCCACUGAGACUGAUACACGGCCCGGACUCCGACGGGAGGCAGCCGUAGGGAAUCUUCGGCAAUGGACGAAAGUCUGACCGAGCAACUCCGCGUGAGUGAAGAAGGUUUUCGGAUCGUAAAACUCUAUUGUUAGAGAAGCGGUAUCUAACCAGAAAGCCACGGCUAACUACGUGCCAGCCGCCGCGGUAAUAC